CACGAAUUGUCGUGGUCAUGGUGUUGAAAGGUUCAGGCUUUGACGCUGAUGGCUCUACCUCCUUAAGAGACAGACCCACCCCCUGACACAGUCGGGGCAGGCACAGGAAAACUUGCUAAGUCAUCGCAGGACACCCGCCAUGCAUUACACCUGCUGAAGACUCUGGGCAUGCGUAGAACCUCAGUGCACAGGAACAUCUUCCUGGCCAUUCGCCUGAUUCGGGUGGCACUGUUAAUCCUCAGCAGAAAACAAUCCUAAGGAGGUUCUGUGUUCCUGCCUCAUUGACAGGUGGCCAUGAUGUUACUGCUCAAUCCUGACAAGAAGGUUCCUGGUAUCUAAGACGUAGGACUCGUUUGCAGGGAGAAGACGGCUGUCCUUAGAGGCAACAUUUACUUUUAGCAGCUUUAGGCCUGGCACAGGAAGCAGUCAGAUGAGUUGGACUCUCACAUCUGCCUCCUUCUGCAAAUUCAUCCAGUGCUCCAGUUUAGGAUGCAAAUGCAGGGAAUGGUGCCAUCCAUUUUUCUUCCCACAUCAAUUAAGAUCCUCGUUUGGUUUCCAGGCUCAGACCCUCUUGGUGGCCAAGCUAGAACCUGGAGAUCGGUCCCCUUACCUUCCCAGUCUCUUCCACCUCUGAUCAGCCAGUGAGGUAAACACCAUGCUAAGCUAUGAUCUCCUGCAGCUGAUGGUUCCUGAUUCAUCUUACCAUCGUGAAAUUUCAUUCCCUAGCUGGCCUGAAAUCCUCAGAAAUCUACCUGCCUCAGCCUCCUGAGUGCUGGGAUUAAAGGCGUGGGGGUGGACUUUGAGGUCUCCUAUGCUCAAGCUACUCUCAGCGAGACAGACCACUUCCUGUUGUCUGACUAUCAAGAUAAAGG
rnacentral:lncRNA from 1 species